ensembl:snRNA U6 U6 spliceosomal RNA
GUGCUUGCUUCAGCAGCACAUGUACUAAACAAUACAGAGAAGAUCAGCAUGGCCUCUGUACAAGGAUGACAUGCAAAUUCAUGAAGCAUUCCAUAUUUUU